UAGUCCACGCCGUAAACGAUGGAUACUCGGUGUAGGGAGGAAUCGACCCCUUUCUGUGCCCAAGCUAACGCGUUAAGUAUCCCGCCUGGGGAGUACGGUCGCAAGAUUAAAACUCAAAGGAAUAGACGGGGACCCACACAAGCGGUGGAGCAUGUGGUUUAAUUCGACAAUAAACGGGGAACCUUACCGAGGUUUGACAUCUCCGGAAUUCUCUAGAAAUAGAGAAGUGCCGUAAGGAACCGGAUGACAGGUGCUGCAUGGUCGUCGUCAGCUCGUGCCUUGAGGUGUUCGGUUAAGUCCGUAAACGAGCGCAACCCAUGUCCUGUGUUGUAUUUCUCACAGGAGACUGCCGGCUCCAAGUCGGAGGAAGGUAUGGAUGACGUCAGAUCAGCAUGGCCCUUAUGUCUGGGGCCACACACGUGCUACAAUGGCCGAUACAAUGAGCAGCCAACCCGUAAGGGGGAGCGAAUCUCAUCAAAGUCGGUCUAAGUUCGGAUUGAGGGCUGCAAUUCGCCU
rnacentral:rRNA from 1 species